UACAGAGACCUCAAGCGUUAUCCGGAAUCAUUGGGCGUAAAGCGUACCGAUAGGUGGUUGAAAUAGUCUUGGGUAAAAGCCAGAAGCUCAACUUCUGCGUUUGCUUAAGAUACUUUUCGACUAGAGGGGCAAAGAGGUGAUUGGAACGAAUGGUGUAGUAGUGAAAUGCGUUGAUAUCAUUCGGAACACCGAAAGCGAAGGCAGAUCACUGGGUGCCUCCUGACACUGCUAGGACGAAAGCGUGGGUAGCGAAUGGG
rnacentral:rRNA from 1 species